GGCGCCGUAGCUCAGCAUGGUAGACCUCCGAUAAGGGGCUCCAAAAGCAGCAGGCUGUUAACCUGUUGGUCGGCCGUUCGAGUCGGCCCGGCGCCG
rnacentral:tRNA from 1 species